UACGUAGGGUGCGAGCGUUAAUCGGAAUUACUGGGCGUAAAGCGUGCGCAGGCGGUGAUGUAAGACAGGUGUGAAAUCCCGGGGCUCAACCUCGGAACUGCAUUUGUGACUGCAUCGCUGGAGUGCGGCAGAGGGGGAUGGAAUUCCGCGUGUAGCAGUGAAAUGCGUAGAUAUGCGGAGGAACACCGAUGGCGAAGGCAAUCCCCUGGGCCUGCACUGACGCUCAUGCACGAAAGCGCGGGGAGCAAACAGG
rnacentral:rRNA from 1 species